CCUAUAGUACAUACAUGUUGUAAUCUGUCAAAAAUUAUCAAUUAAACAGAAACAAAUUACAAAGCCAAGAAAUGGCACAGUCUAUGCAGAUCCUCUAGUGAACCGUCCCGAAAACUAUGAAUUUCACACUUGAUUAUGUGCUGCAUCGUCUGUAUUUCGCUGCCGUCACACUGAGGAUCUUCCAUGUAGCCCCACUUGGCCAUCAGCUCAUUGCACAGUCCAACACCAGUUCUAAUUCUGUUUAUUGCCACCUAGGUUCUUCGAGAAAUGUUGAGGCCAGGAACACGAUCAGCUGGGUUCUUAAUAAGGUGUCCCUUGUUACUUCCUCAGGUAGAGCCUGCAAGUUUUUUAUAUUGACUCCGUCUGAGUUUUUGGCUUACAUCCUGCAGGUGUUCUUUGAAUGUUAGGCUGCAGUCCAGUUUAACACCCAGGUAUUUUGGUGCUCUUUCAUGUCUUAUAUUCUGGCCUGCUAUAUUCAAGUGCAGCUUCCUGUCUGCUUGUUUGUUAUUCAGGUGCAUCACUGUACUUACUGUUUUUGAUGCAUCAAGGUUCAGAUGCCAGGUCCUGUAGUAGACAAUGGUCAUUGAAAAGACAUUAGAGAAGACAGAGGGUAUGGAAAUCUCUAUACUUAUCUACACACAGCCAGGGUAGCUAGUUGUGCAUAUGAUGGUGAAAUAUGGUCGAAGAGUCGAACAUCACAGAUGUAAUGAACACAAGCAUUCGUAAUCAGUUCCAGGCACUGUGAACUUUCCUGAGAAAGGGCUUGCAGGAUAACAUCACUGUAAUCAAUAAUUGGGAGUAUAAGGGUUUGUACAAGCUUCUUUUUCUGGUCAAAAGGGAAAAGCUUUUCAUACUUUUGUAAGGCAGGGAGAUAAGCUGAUUCCUUCUUGCACAUUGAAGUUGUGUGUUCAGUAAAAUUUAAAUUUUCAUCUAUUAUUACUCCUAGACUUGUCUGAAGGAGAAAAGUUGACAUUUGUCCCAUUUAGUGUUAAAGAUGGUAGGUAUUCACCACUUGAGUUUUGGAUGGGAUGAGCUCUUUAACCGUACAUCCUGCAUCCAUUUUGAUAGUGCAGGUCAAUAUGAAGAUUCUUGAUAGCGGUCUUCAGGUUUAUUGGUUUUGCACUUAGACACAAGUGGAGGCAAUCAGUACAUAUGUGGUAUUUGCAGUAGGACAGAACUGAUGACACAUCACUGAUAGGCAAUGAAAUGAGUAUAGGACCUAAUUCCAAGCCCUGGGGGAUGCAUGAUACUACUUAUCUUUAUUAAAGCAGAUGUUGUGUCAUGAUGUUUAAGUAUCUAAAAUUGUAUGCUCUUCAUAAAACUAAUACUCAUUUGUUCCUUUCUUAUUUGUCAGAUUCUGAUAACGGAUUAAGCCAAAAUAUGCAAAAGUUAUCUAGUUGAAACUUAAAAAAAUAUGGAGUAAAAAGCAAUGUAACCACAGCAAAAGGCCAAAGAUGUGAUAUAAAUCCCUACCCUCACUCCAGAGAGAGAGAGAGAGAGAGAGAGAGAGAGAGAGAGAGAGAGAGCACUGUGACAGUCAACAGAGGUAGCUCGCUGCCAAUGUCAUUUAUCUACUGUCACUGCCUCAAGCCUUCCACUUACAAAAUGGGCAAGAACACAGCUGGAGCCUGGCUGACUAUGCUAAUAACACGUAAGAAACUGCUUUUCCACUCACAUCCCAUACAAAUCAUGCUUUUCGUAACUGAUAGUCCAAUGGCCUUUAAUUGUGUGUGGGUGCAUUCUGAUCGAAUCUGAUUUAUAAUUUCCCCUAUUUACCAUUUUCAAGAGUCUGGCUACCAAACUGAUAAGCUCAUCUUCUCUUUCAAAACUUGAAGCAAUAUUCUCAAUGUUGUGUGUUUACCAUUCAUUUUGUCGGAAUCUCAUUUUGUCCAUCAAAUUACAUGUUUUUUUUAAACAUGUCUAUUUCAGUUUACAGUUUCAUGAAAUGUUUACAGUUUAACAUGGUGAAUGAUCCAACUAUACUGAAACUGACAUUAUCGAUCUUUACCAUGAUGUAGGUCAUACUCAACCUUAAUGAACUUGUAAACAUUGUGCACAGUGAUACAACUCUGUACUGAAUUUUCUAAUCAUGUACAGCAAUCUAUACUACAAGUAAAAAAUGACUGAUACUACUACAUUCAUUUUUAUGUGAAAUGGUUCUUGCACAAAUGCUCUAGAUUUAAACUCAAAAACACAGGUAAUCCAGCUUUUUACUGUCAAAAUUAAUGACCUCAUAAAGAUACUGCACCAACAAAGAAUAAUAACAGAGAGAGGAAAAUUCUAAAUUACGGGAUGAGCAUAUUAAUGAAAAUUAGGAACACCACUUAGUAGUCUGGUGGAUGAAAGUCACUGAGCACACUAAGAAUAAGGUUGGAAACUCUAAUAAGCACUUGCUGCUUGCUAGAACACAUGUUAAUGGCCAGUUGUAUAUUCUCCAGUUAGCGGCUGGUUAAGCUCUAUUCUCGGAAUAGCAUGCAAAAUGCAUUGUAUGAACCCAGAAUAAUGCCUAAACUGGGAAUAAACUCGAGAUAACUUAACCAGCUGUUUCUGGCUGGUUAGCAAGCUUCAAGCGUAACCAGGGAACAAAUUUUCAAGGUGGGAGAAAUAGUGAUAAGAGUAAGACAGUGAUGAUGAGAUUUUGGCUCAGCUGUUCUUGAGAAUGAUGAAGUGAAUGUCACCCAAUUAUUUCAAAGAAUUUGUCAAUUCCAAAAUGAUAGCCUGAUUUUGCUUAUCAAAAGCCGUACUUCGUCUUUUCAGUCUUCUAUGUGAGAAACUGGAGCACAUGACAGACAGAAAUGAGUCUGUUCCACCAAUGAGGCAGACAAUCUAAUUUUUUGUCUCUGGUGAUUUCCUUCCGUCCACUGGAGACUUCUUUGUUAUUGCCGAAGUGUCAGCUAGCAGGAUUGCUAAAAGGAUGUGGAUGGCACUAGACAACAAGCACAAAAGACAGUUUUGUCAGUUAUUUCACUCGGGUGCAAUUAAAUGAAAAUACAACAAACCAUAUAACUAUCCUACCAACAGUGAAUUAAAUGGAGAUGAAGUACCAAGUCAGGAAGGAAACCAAAAUUUACCCUUGACACCACCACCACCACCACCACCACCACCAUCACCACCACCACAACCACCACCAAUUAUCAAAUGCCUAAAAACAUACCUAAAACUCAUAGUAGUAGCGACUGUAUGCACUACAUUAAUUAACUUUUGUACUGAAAGAAAUGUAAAUUAUGUAUACUAAUAAAGUAUAAUGAACAUAU